CCUGGUUGAACCUGCCAGUAGUCAUAUGCUUGUCUCAAAGAUUAAGCCAUGCACAUUUCAGUAUAAAUCUCAGAGAAGAUGAAGCUGUGAAUGGCUCAUUACAACAGUCAUAAUCUACGUGACAACAUAUGGAGAAGGAUAACUGUGGUAAUUCUAGGGCUAAUACCUGCACUUGCACUCAACUUUUGGGAAGAGUUGUGCUCAUCGCUCUCAGAACUAUCUCAGGUACUACCUGGCUCCUCGGUGAGGCAUGAUGAUGUUUCAAACUGCAUGAUGUAAAUUGGCAGUACGUCACUGAAGUCUCUGACCUAUCAGCUUCCGAAGGUAGGGUAUGGGCCUACUUUGGCAAUGACGGGUAACGGAGGAUUAGGGUUUGACUCCGGAGAGGGAGCCUGAGAAAUGGCUACCACAUCUAAGGAAGGCAGCAGGCGCGCAAAUUACCCAAUCCUGACACAGGGAGGUAGUGACAAGAAAUAACAAUACAGGGCACUUCUGUCUUGUAAUUGGAAUGAUUCUAUUUUAGAUCCGCUGAUGAGUAUCAAUUGGAGGGCAAGUCUGGUGCCAGCAGCCGCGGUAAUUCCAGCUCCAAUAGCAUAUGUUAAAGUUGUUGCGGUUGAAAAGCUCGUAGUUGGACUUCUGCUGAGGGUUGCUAACCCGCCCUCUGGGUGAUGGUCUGGCCUGCCUCAGUAUCUUCUCGGAGAAUGUAGAUGCACUUGACUGUGUGGUGCGCUAUCUGAGGCUGUUACUUUGAGGAAAUUAGAGUGCUUCAAGCAGGUCGUUGCCCUGAAUACAUUAGCAUGGCAUGAUAAGUCAGAACCUCUUGUUCUUCUUUGUUGGUUUUAGAGCAGAGGGGAGGGUGAAUAGGAACAGUUGGGGGUAUUCAUAUUUGACUGUCAGAGGUGAAAUUCUUGGAUUUGUGAAAGAUGGACUACUGCGAAAGCAUCUGCCAGAGAUGUCUUCAUUGAUCAAGAACGAAAGUUAGGGGAUCGAAGACGAUCAGAUACCGUCCUAGUCUUAGCCAUAAACCAUGCCAACUAGAGAUUGGAGGUUGUUACCAGUACGACCCUUUCAGCAUCUUCCGAGAAAUCUAAGUCUUUGGGUUCCGGGGGGAGUAUGGUCGCAAGGCUGAAACUUAAAGGAAUUGACGGAAGGGCACCACCAGGAGUGGAGCCUGCGGCUUAAUUUGACUCAACACGGGGAAACUCACCAGGUCCAGACAUAGUAAGGAUUGACAGACUGAUAGCUCUUUCUUGAUUCCAUGGGUGGUGGUGCAUGGCCGUUCUCAGUUGGUGGAGUGGUUUGUCUGGUUAAUUCCGUGAACGAACGAGACCUCAACCUGUUUAAUAGUUACGCUUAACUGCGGUC
rnacentral:rRNA from 1 species